rnacentral:tRNA from 1 species
GCCGGUGUAGCACAGCGGUAGUGCAGCGCUCUUGUAAAGCGAAGGUCGGGAGUUCAAUCCUCUCCACCGGCACCA